rnacentral:rRNA from 1 species
CACGUAGGGGGCGAGCGUUGUCCGGAUUUAUUGGGCGUAAAGCGCUCGCAGGCGGCUCGAUGCGUCGUGCGUGAAACACCCCGGCUCAACUGGGGAGGGUCGUGCGAUACGGUCGGGCUGGAGGCCAGUAGGGGGAUGCGGAAUUCCGGGUGUAGUGGUGGAAUGCGUAGAGAUCCGGAGGAACACCAGCGGCGAAGGCGGCAUCCUGGACUGGUCCUGACGCUCAGGAGCGAAAGCGUGGGGAGCGAUCCGG